rnacentral:rRNA from 1 species
UACGGAGGGUGCGAACGUUAAUCGGAAUCACUGGGCGUAAAGCGCGCGUAGGCGGUCUGUUAAGUGGGAUGUGAAAUCCCCGGGCUUAACCUGGGAAUUGCAUUUCAAACUGGCCGACUAGAGUACGGUAGAGGGAGGUAGAAUUUCCUGUGUAGCGGUGAAAUGCGUAGAUAUAGGAAGGAAUACCAGUGGCGAAGGCGGCCUCCUGGAUCGAUACUGACGCUGAGGCGCGAAAGCGUGGGGAGCAAACAGGAUUAGAUACCCUGGUAGUCCACGCCGUAAACGAUGAGAACUAGCCGUUGGACCCCUUGAGGGUUUAGUGGCGUAGCUAACGCGAUAAGUUCUCCGCCUGGGGAGUACGGCCGCAAGGCUAAA